rnacentral:lncRNA from 1 species
CUUAAGUACCCAGAUUUUCUUAUGCAGGAAAGAAUACAUGAAGUAAGAUUUAAGCCUUGAAAGUAUCAUAAAUACAUCAUUCUUCAAAUUGAUUGUGAUGAAAGGAAAUAGGAUUCUUUCUCCUUAGAAUUUUCACUGAUCUAUAAUGGGAUCAAAAAAGUAGAAAAAUCAGUCUGCAGAAUGAAAACAGAUUAAUGAAAUAGCUAGAAAGGAGGGGAGAGCAUUUGUUUAGUUAAAUGUUAAGGUAACUUGAAAAUUAUCUAUGAAAUGCUAAAACUGUACUAGAGCCUUAUUGCACACUCAACAUUUUAAGCCUGGGAGCAGGGGAAGGUGGGAAAAGGUUGGAGUGAUAGAAUUGUUUGCCUUAUGAUCUCUUGACUCCUUUUACACAAGAAGCAGAUUGGUAGAGCUUAAGCAGGUGUCUGUGCUGUGGUGCUGGCUCUGCCAAAAACUCUCAUAUGCCCUAGAAAACUUCCUUUAACUUCUCUGAGCCCGAGUUUAUCUGUAAAGUGAAGACUUUUUAAAUUUAGUAAUCUGCAUGUCUCUUCAUCUCUGAGAAUUCUAUAAUGUUUUCAGAUUGUUAUAUGUGUACAUGAACAUGUUGCUUCCCUCUAGUCACUAAGAUGCCACAUAUUUCUACUUGAGUGACUGAACAGAUUGCAAGUCCAAAUGUUCUUGUUUCUAAUUCUAAUAAUUGACCUCAGCAAGACAUAAAAAAGUAAAAAAAAAAGUAAUCUUACCUUUUAUUUUGACCUUGGCUUUAAAUUAUUAUGAUUUAUCAUUUCAUCUUUGAAUGCUGAGUGAAUUACCUAAACAGAAUGUCUGUUCCAGUUAAUCUUCUCUUUAAAUUUUUGUAGUUUAAUAAACAUGCAGCAAAUCAGAAGCAAGUAUAUCAUGCUUAUCGAUGAACUGUAGCAGAUUGUAAUGGUGCAUUUUUGUCACAUUAAAAAGUUAAUGUCCUUUUGGUCCCAGAAGCAAUUACUAUAAUUUAAAAUAAUGUUUUUGAAUACAAAGGAGCCCUAAUAGAGCCAUAUUGUAGUUCAUUUUGCUCAGGAGUGAGAAACAAAAUUCAGGGAUAACCCAAACAUGUCUGUUUGGCAAUAGUGGAUAGUUAGGUAAAGAAGGGUUAUAGCUUUUGCACAUCACAGGUAAGAGGCAACUAUACCUAUUGAAAAACAGCAGUAUAUUCUGGUUCCUGGUUUUAUGAUGGAAAGAUAUUAGAAUGAUACUAAAAUUUGGAUGCUUGGGAAAUUGAAUAAUAUAGAAAUAUUUUGUCAUACUGAGAUUAUUUGUCCAGAAGUUUAAUCUUAUAUCCCUUCCAUUCAGAAAAGGGGGCAGUUUUUAAAGGCCUCUGUCAUAAUAGGAAAUGUAUAUUUUGACUAGUGGAGCAAUUAGUUAAAACAUUUAAUCUGAUCAUUUUGGUUUUAUGAAUCUGAAUUUUCACUUUAGGUGUAAUUGAGUCGCUUAUGUAUUACUGUGAUCUUUGUGAGAAGUGAUUUCGUCCAUUUUUUUAAAUUUGAUGAAACUUGAUAAAUGGUGAUUCUAGCAUAUUGUGUUAAUACUGUAUCUUACAACAAUUUGUGAACUGGCCAACAUAAACAAAUCAUAGUAGUAUCUCUUCUGGUAAGUUGUUUCUAUAUGUGAUCUCUUAAUGCUGGGUUUGGGGGUGGGGAUGGGGUUAAGUAUUUAGUUUACUUUAAACUGUCAAAGUGUUUUUCUUAAAUGCCGUAAAAUUGUAUGACUAUAAGCCAAAUAAGAAUAUUCUCUUUUUUCGCUUUCAAGGGCACUGUAUAGACCAUUUUUGAAACUAUCCCACAGAAUGGUAUAAUUUAAGUUUAAAAGCUCUUACACACAUACACACACACAAAUAUAUAUAUACACAUUUAGGGGAAAGCAAACAGUGUAUGUAGUAUUUCUACGUGACAUGCUACAUGUUAUAAGAAUCUAUUUUUGAAAUCUUAUACAGAUUAUGCAGAAGUCAGAAUAACAAAUACAACACCUCAGUUUUUUUAUAGAGUCUAACGUUAGUUUACUUAUAAGAUUUGCUUACAUCAUACUUUGCAAAGAUCAUUCACAUAAUUUAUUUAAUGUUGAAAAUAUUUAUAUGAAGUACUAAUGUCAUCUGAAGUUUAGAGAUUAAACAACCAAGGUUUAGAAAGAUCAAAUGACUAGUCCAAGAUAAUAUGGCCAAUAAAUGGCUCUAAACCUCCUCUGUUCUUUAUGCUAUUCACCUUUUGUCAUGUUAUUUUUAUCCUGUCAUUGCCAUUAUCUUUAAAACUUCGACAAAAAUUUAAUUUUAAAAGUUACAUUGGGAAUUUUCAGAUUUUAGUGCAAAGACAUUGUUGCUGUUCUUGUCAGACCUUUUUAGAUACUUCCAGACUAUAGCCCUUCCACAGGGUGAUAUUCAAACAUUUUCCACCUAAAACAUGUAAGUUUGCACACCCUGACCACAGACACUGAAUUCACUUGAUGUCAGAAUGCUAGACUAAAAAUUGAUCUUCUUGACUGACAUUUCUAAUCUCCCUUUUUAAAAAUCCAUCAUAAGGACUGACUUCUGAACAGUUGAGUAAAGCAGUAAUCAAUCCAAGAAACUGCAUCCAUUCUGAUUAAGAGGAAAAAAAAUCCAACCUAGUGACCAUUUUUCAGCAUAUUGUAUUUCAUCACAUUUAUUCUGUGAUUAGUGGAGGACAGAGAAGAGGGACUGGGGAGAAAAACUGCCUUUAUUUUAAGAAAGCUCAUUUCCUGUAACUAUUCAAAAAGAAUUGAUUAUCAAGUGUUAGAUAACAAUAUUACUAACAUUUAUCAUAGUUCAAACAUUUAGUAAAAUUUCUCCACAUAUUUAAAAUUUUACUUAAGAAUUUUCCCAGUUAAAAUAUAGUGACUGCUUAGUUUGAAUAAGGAAGACAUUCGUUUCAAUUCAUGACACAAUAUUACAUUUUUAUUCUUUUCUCAGACAACAGGGAGACACUGUUACUGCUUUCCCUUGUAAGUCAACAGUCUGUGAUACAUGCUGUACUUUUACUGAUUAGCAAUGCAAUGUUACUGUGAAUAUUUAACUAGAACUUAUUAUAUUGGAAUUUAAAAUUUUCUAACAUUGAAUUUAGUUCUCUUCAUCAAAUAAAUAAGCAAGCAUUAUUUUUAUGAAACGAAAUAAUCAUUCUUAAGCAGUGAUAAUAAUGGAAUUCUGAAUAAGAUGUAAAAUCAAACAUUCUAUUUUUUCCUGUUUAUCCUUUGACAUUGAGUUGUUUUAAUUUAUUACAUAUUAUUGUUAAGUUGAAAUAAGCUUUAUACCAUGUUCUCUGAUGUUCUUGUCAUAAUAAUUUUGGGCCUUUUGUUAAGUAAAUAUCAGAAAAUAUCUGUGAGUUUUGAUUAUGAUAUUUUCAUCGGAUUGAUUUUUUAAAUUUCUCAUUGGAUUUAAAGUGUUUUCUUUGCUAAUGUUAUAUACAGAAUUCAAUAAAAGACCAAAAAAAA